GGAAGGAUCAUUAUCACGUAUCCACGUAUCACCAAAUGUGCACUGUUAUUAUCUCCCUGUCGCUUCACAUGCAUUGGAACUUGCUCACGCUUUGGAAUGGAGUCUCGUCAGAGACUAGCGUGACAUGAGCACACUUGCGGACGCUUGCGUUCGCAGACAAUGGUAGUGAAUGCUUCAGGCAUAUUCUUACGUCCUUCGUGACCAUUCUACUCGAAGACGUAGGAGAAAUUUACUCACAUAUUUCACACCCUUUUUGCUAGUUGACUUUUUUAAUGUUGGACUUAAUAUAGAAUUAAUUUUCUACGUUAGUUCACACGUUUAUCUAUUUAAACGAAAAAUACAACUCUUAGCAAUGGAUAUCUAGGUUCUCGCAACGAUGAAGAACGCAGCAAAGUGCGAUAUGUAAUAUGAUCUGCAAGCUUCAGUGAAUCAUCAAAUCUUUGAACGCAAAUUGCGCUCUUGGGUAGCCCUAGGAGCACGCCUCUCUCAGUAUCGGUUCAACUCCUCUCAGCUGCGUACGCAAGUACAUGCGCUGGAAAAUGAGAGUCGAAGGAUUAUUCUUUCGUCUCUUGAAAUAUAUGGAGUGAGAUAAGUUCUCUCAUAGCAUCUCAUCCUUCUUCCUCUGGAAGAUAGACAGUCUCUGACUGUCGCGGAUAAGUGACGUGAAUACUGAACUUUAUGGUCUCUUUCUUUUACGUGUAACUUAUCAGCGAUCUCUAAGUCUAGGAUACUCGAACGAUGAAGUGUGGAACUCUCACGGCACGCGGCAUUCACUGCUGCAAUCGAUUAAUGAAAUAAUUUAUUAUUUGUUAGUCUGAAAUAUGAUCUGAGAUGAAGCGAGACAACCCCCUGAAUUUAAGCAUAUUAAUAAGGGGAGGAAAAGAAACUAACAAGGAUUCCCCCAGUAACGGCGAGUGAAGCGGGAAGAGCUCAAUUUGAAAAUCGACAACCUAAGCGGGUCGUCGAAUUGUAGCCUAGAGACGUACCAUCAGCUGAAACCUGGGUAUAAGUUCUUUGGAAUGAGGCAUCAUAGAGGGUGAGAAUCCCGUAUAUGACCCAAAGCUUUCAGCGUACGAUGUAUGUUCAUCGAGUCGAGUUGUUUGGGAUUGCAGCUCUAAAUGGGUGGUAAGUUUCAUCUAAAGCUAAAUAAUAGCGAGAGACCGAUAGCGAACAAGUACCGUGAGGGAAAGAUGAAAAGAACUUUGAAAAGAGAGUUAAAAGUACUUGAAAUUGCUAAGAGGGAAGCGCUGGCAACCAGUGCGCUUGUGUCGUUCAUCGCUUUCAGCCCCUGUAGCUGUGGCGUGCAGUUGGCAACUCUGCACGACGCAUUGAAAGGGUGGUUGGAGGUUUGGGACGGCGCUUCAGUCAAGAUCCAUGCGGUGAGGGGGAGAAGGUGGUGGGGAAGGUAGGAGAUCCGUCUCUGUUAUAGACCCGCCACUCCACCUCGCGCUGCAUGGAGGAAGGAAUAGUGCGCCGCUUGCGGCUUUGUCCCCUGCUCCUAGGCGCUCAGCUGCUCCGAUAGCAAUGCUAUCUCUGUGGCGAAGGCGUCUACUGGGUGGGAGGGUUCUAUGUGCUAUCACGAUCUUGUACGAAAUGGUUGUCAUCGACCCGUCUUGAAACACGGACCAAGGAGUCUAACAUCUAUGCGAGUGUUUGGGUGCAAAACCCCGGACGCGUAAUGAAAGUAAAGGUAGCUUCGGCUGCUGAGGUAGGAAUCCGGCAACGGAGGCACUAUCGACCGAUCCUCACUUGUGAAAGAUUUGAGUAAGAGCAUAUCUGUUGGGACCCGAAAGAUGGUGAUCUAUGCCUGAACAGGGUGAAGCCAGGGGAAACUCUGGUGGAGGCUCGUAGCGAUACUGACGUGCAAAUCGUUCGUCUGAUUUGGGUAUAGGGGCGAAAGACUAAUCGAACCAUCUAGUAGCUGGUUCCCUC
rnacentral:misc_RNA from 1 species